rnacentral:rRNA from 1 species
UUUUCUCAAGGAGGAAGAUCUGACGUUACUUGAGGAAUAAGCAUCGGCUAACCCUGUGCCAGCAGCCGCGGUAAUACAGGGGAUGCAAGUGUUAUCCGGAAUUAUUGGGCGUAAAGCGUCUGCAGGUUGAUAUUUAAGUCUUUUGUUAAACCUCCGGGCUCAACCCGGAAUCUGCAAAGGAAACUAUAUAUCUUGAGUAUGGUAGGGGUAAAGGGAAUUUCCAGUGGAGCGGUGAAAUGCGUAGAUAUUGGAAAGAACACCAACAGCGAAGGCACUUUACUGGGCCAGUACUGACACUCAGAGACGAAAGCUAGGGGAGCAAACAGGAUUAGAUACCCUGGUAGUCCUAGCUGUAAACGAUGGAUACUAGAUGUUGUGUACCUUAGGGUAUGCAGUGUCGUAGCUAACGCGUUAAGUAUCCCGCCUGGGAAGUAUGCUCGCAAGAGUGAAACUCAAA